ensembl:lncRNA
CACUGACAACAUUGUCCUAACCAUUGACGACUCCACUCUGUCCCCAUCACCUCACAUCCGAAAUCUGGAAAUCAUUCUCGACAGCAACCUCACCUUCGAACAACACAUCAAGCAGAUCGCCCGGACCGCAUUCUUUCACCUCAGAAACAUUGCACACCUCCGCAACUCACUCUCCUUCUCUGCUGCUGAAACCCUCAUCCACGCAUUCAUCACAUCCCGAAUUGACUACUGCAACAGCAUUCUCUAUGGUUCAUCCUCAAAAGUCCUCAAUAAACUUUAGUAUGUCCAGAACUAUGCUUCCCACCUCCUCACCCACUCCCACUCUCGUGAACACAUCACCCCUGUCCUCCAAAACCUCCACUGGGUCCCUGUCCCACAACACAUCCAGUUCAAAGUCUUCCUUCUGACUCACAAAGCCCUUCAUAGCCAAGCCCCCCAUACCUCAGAGACCUGUCCACAGUCUCCGUUCCUCUGAUGCAAACCUUCUUUCCCUCCCUGUUCAAAACCAAGCAUCAAACCUGGGGCGACAGAGCCUUCUCCAUGUCUGCCCCCACACCCUGGAACUCCCUACCCCAACACAUCCGUGACUGCACCGAUCUGACCACUUUCAAAUCACACAUCAAGACCCACCUGUUCAGAACUGCGUUUAAUAUAUAAUACUAAUUUAUUUUUAUGAUGUGUGUUAUGACUUGUUUUAUGAUGUCCGUCUGUUUUAAUAUUUGCUGAUUUUAUAAUGUAGCUAUGUAAAGUGUCUGAGUAUUUUGAAAAGCGGAAUUAUUUAAGUUCAACAGAUCAUCCUGGUUCUUCCCUCAAUUCCUCAAUAACAAAAAAAAAACAAAAACAAAAAAAACCCAUUAUAUUUAUGCAAUCACAUCUUCUUACAGACACUUGCAAGUUGCGAAACCUGUCCUAAUACCCAGACAUGUCUACCUUAAAACUUCCCUUUAAGUGUGUGAGGUGAAAUAGACUUUGCAGGGAAACAACAGGUCUUAAAGACAGUUAAGAAUCUUAACCUCACCAAACCUCUAAAUCCAGCUUCAGAAUGAGAGCAUACAAUCAUCUCCCACACUGUGAACCAGUAGUUAUUAUCACUAGAGUAAAAAUUCA